GCAGAGAGCCGGGAAGAGAGAGAAUCCCAAGCAGGCUCUGCACUGUCAGUGCAGAGACCAAAGUGGUGCUUGAAUUCACAGACCAUGAGAUCAUGACCUGAGCUGAAACCAAAAGUCGGAUGCUUAGCCAACUGAGCUACCCAAGUGCCCCUGGACUCUUUACGCUGUACCUUAAAAUAGGCUGUCAUGGGACUUAGGGGAGAAUGCUGUCAGGGAUUCCUUGCCAAUGAUCAGGAAUCGCUGAACUUCCUGAAAAUACAGCAUGUCAGUGUGAGAAGGACCUGGAAGAACCUAAAACCAGUCCCCUUUUUGCUAUCAGGUUAUGUGGCUGUUGAGUGCUAGAUCCAGGAUUAAAAUCCAGGCUUUCUGAUACCCAGUCUGAGACUCUUUCCACUAACUCUGUGCUGCUACUGGCUCUUAAACUCUGUUUUUUUUUUCUUUAUGGAGAUGGGCUGCUCAUCUCACCCGUCCUCAUUUGUUCUCUACCUGGUUAGUUAGAAUUUCCCCUGGGACAAAGCACAUUACUUAGAUUCUCCCUGACCGUCUGAAAGAGCACGUCUUCAUUUGAGGCUGCUCUUCCUUCCCCCAAACCUGCUGAGCUGAGAAUUCCUUAGGGACAGGAAAUUGUGGCUGCUGUUGAAAAUGAUAAAACUUGAGGUGUUUAAAUCAUGAUGGGAAACCUUGAAAACGCGCAUGAUUACCUGUUGCUAAUGGCAAUUUUCCAGAGGUAAGUGGGUGGAGUGUGAAUUUGAGACAGGACGGGGAAUUUCAUCCAACCAGUGCAUCUGGCCCUGGAGGCUUGAGGAUGGAGAGGGGACACUCCUCAUUCCAGAUCCUCUCCUGCCACCUUCUAGUAACCAGUUGACAGCUGACCAAGCAUAUGAAGAGAAAGACUAAACAUUUCUUCACAAAAACUUUCGGUUUCAACUUCUGACAUGCAUAUUUACAAUAGCCGAUUAUUUGAUGAAAUGUUAAGUUUUAAAAAAUGGACUUUAGUGACAUAAUCUUACUCCACCUUGGUCAGGUAACUAAAAGUGCACUUUUGAAUUGAUGCGGCAUUGGCAUUUUUCACUCCUGCAUUAGCUCUAAAUGCUGCAUCUCUGUAGUAGAAGACCAGAAGAGCCAGUAGGGUGGGAGCAAAUGGAGACAGACAUAUGUUUGGAAAACUCAGGCUCGUCUCUCAUUCCCCAAAGCUCCUCGUCAAGGUUAAAUAAGAGAACAUUUGGCUUCCACUUGUCUGUCUUGAACUCUUAAAACUAUCCUGAACUAUAUAAUCAUGUUUUCUUGAUAACGCUAGGCCAAGUGCGGAUCAGGUGUCUCUGCUUUACCUGGCUUGACUGUGUAAUCAAGUUCAACACUUAACUUGUCAGGUCUCCCCGUGCCUUUGUGUGGUUUCAAUAGUAUUUCAGAAAACUUAUAAAGGCCCCGCCAUAAAUAAAGCAAGAUUGCACACAGGGGCUUGGAAAAUGCAACAUUCACAAAGCCGCAGAUGUGGAGCAGAGGGAAUUUGGAGUGAAAUAUUUAAUUACUUCAUCAUUGAAAACUAAUUACCAAUUGGGGAGUGUUUUCAUUUGUGGAACGUAGAUUGAUUAGCAGGAUCCUCGAAGUUCUAGUUUCCUUACUACUGAUUACAUCUUUCAUAGAAGAAAAAUGGGUUAGUUUUAACAAGCUUGAGUCAGCCUGCAGACAAGUGAGGUUACCGAAGAGGGAUUGCACAGGAUUAGUGAUAUUCAAUAGGCAAAAGGGUAUUGAGUUCAGAUUUUUUUUUCCUGAUAGACUAUUAGAGAUAAAUUUCACAUUUGGGAUUUACUCGUUGGUAAUAAGCAAGGUUGUAUUUUUCAGUCAGGAAGUUAAUUUGUUUGUUCCACAAAAUGUUUCAAUCAACGUUAUACAUGUUCAGUGACCUGGAGCCCCGAGGCAAAGUUUUGCCUCUGAUACAGGACACAGGUAUAUUGUUUAAAGGCCAGGUUUGGAAAAUUAAGUACACUGAAAUAUAAAAGCUGCGGCUCAUCAUGGAGCGUUAUAAGCAACAGGAGUCAGGUUCUGAUGGGCAGAAGAGCUUGGUGGGGAGACCUUUGGUGGGUGGAAGGGCGCUAUUUGGCUUCUAUAUUCCCAGGCUUGCUUGAUAUCUCCAUAUCACAGUGGGGUUCAGUCCCCAUAUUCUCCCUUGUUGCCCUUGCCUUUGUCAGCUCUACUCUCCAGGAAGAAUCUACUGUUAGUUGCCUUUGAGAAUGCAAAGUCACUGUGCCCCCUGAUCUCUCCUUAAGCAAGAAAAUGAUUUCAGCAGCCAGUCACCGGGUGGGCCCUGGCCCCGCAGAUAAUACUGUGCAGACAGACACAUUCCUCUUUUGGGGUGGACGUUCUUGCUGAGUAACGGUAACAGGUAUUCUGAUGGGGGAAGAAGUCUGGGAAAGGGGCAGGACACAUGGCUUCCAGUUCUGAACCUGCCACUAACCAUGAGUCCUUGGGUCUAUUAAUUGAUCGUUUGAGUUCACUCUUCCCCUACGAGGAUUAUAUGAAAUAGGGAAUGUGAAAGGGUAUUGAAAGCCUUAAAAAACGUUGUUCAGAUUAAAAUAAUUCUUUCAAUUGCUUGCAUUUGCUACUCCGAUCGAUCAUUUGCAUGCAGCGAGUGGUGACUUAGACAAGGCAUAUCCCGUCCUGCCCAAUUUCAGUCCGUAUUGGAACUGGUGUUUCUAUUUUGAGAUGGAGACAAAGUUAUAAUAUCUAGUCCCUGAGCCAGAAUGGCCUUCCUCCAGGCGAGUGUAUUCUCCUCUGGGGUUUCAGGCUGUGCCAAAACUUUCCAGAGCAGUCAGAGCCCUCUGACUGGGGCGCUUGGUCUGGCAGCAAGGACAAGAAAGAUUCAGGAACCCGCUCUUUUCUCAGCACUCCUGUCUGGUGGGUAGCUCACCGCUCACCUGGCUCACUGGAUUUCCCAGAGUUGGCUAGGGGUGAUUCCAGGCUGGGCUGUGACCCCCUCUAACAUGGGAGGAGUAAGCUGUGUGUGAUGAACGCCAGACUAGAUUCACUGUUGUUCUGAAGAAGGGAUUUAAACUUGAGGUUUUCACACACUACUUAGAUUAUGACUUAAAAUUUUUAUUACUGACUUAAAAAUUGCCAGAAAUCCAAUUAAGGGGCUCCAGAGGGACAGCUGUGGGGGAAGCAGAUGGGACAAAGAUACUGAAUCAUUCUGGAAUAUGACUGUGACCCCUCCAACAAGGUGAAGAUUUCUGCCUGAUGUUCUCGGUCAAUGAGAACAUCAAACUGUUUAAAGGAGGUAAAAACCACAGGGCAAAUGGUAAAAUCCAGAAACUGUAGAAAUGAAAGACUUAAGGAAUCAAGUAAGAGAGGGAAGACAGAUUUUACAUUUAGAACGAUAAGAAAUGUAAUGUUGGAAUACUUAAAAAUAGCAUUAUUAUAAAAAGAGAAGAUCCAAACAUGGUUCAAAUAAAGAUAAUAAAAGUUAAGAAAUUUUGGCAAAACAAAAAUAUAAGUAAACAAAUAUGAAGAGAUUUGGAGAAACAACAGUAUAAAAAGUAAACCUGAAAAGCUGAGAGGCCAAAAGUAAAAGUGACCUCAGUACAUGUAAGUUUAGAUAGAAGUUAAAACGUGAAGAAAUGUCAGAAGUCAAAAGAUACACUAACAAUUGAAAAUAAAGCUACCUACGGGGCGCCUGGGUGGCUCAGUCAGUUAAGUGUCUGACUUUGACUCAGGUCACAAUCUCACGCUUCAUGGGUUCAAGCCCCGUGGUGGGCUCAGUGCUGACAGCUCAGAGCCUGGAGCCUGCUUUGGAUUCUGUGUCUCCCUCUCUCUCUGCGCCUCCCCUGGUCACUCUCAGUCUGUCAGAAACAAAUGUUAAAAAAAAAAAAUUAACAAAAAAGAAAAAAAGAAAAGAAAGCUACCUAGAAACAAGUGUAAAAGAGGCAAGAUACAAACUUUUUAGAAAGUACCAAAUGCAUAAGGUGGAGGAAAAAAGCGACAAAGUUGCCUCCAUUACUAAAGUUCGAAUACAGAGGCAGAGAGAUUCCUUUUUAGCAGUGAAGGGCACAGAGAUUCCAGCAGAGUCCUGGGUACUUAUCUUCUGGAAGUUUGUAGCACCUUGUAAAGGGAGCUCUUCAGGAGGAUUCCUUUGGGACCUUUGACAUCAGGGAGCAUUGCCCCCUCCCCCAUCUUUGAUAUAGAAAUUUCAAAUGUCUAUAGAUAUCUAGAAUAUUCUAUAGAUAUACAGAAUUUAUACAGAUUUUCAUAGGCUUCUAUAAAAACAUAUCAGUAGAGUUUUAUAGAAGAUUUCCCCUUGCUGCCCUGUUGUUUAGAAAUGCGGGGCCCACGUAGAGGUGGAGUAGAUACACAUUAUACUGAGGCCCCCAGCCCCAGAAAGCCUAAGGCAUCCAAGUAUAGCUAUCAGUUCUUGAGGAUUUAUUAUCUGUCUGGUAGCACAGCUAGACAACUUAGAGAAUUAUCUAGCUCAGUCCUCAGAACAUUAUGAGAAAGGUUUUGUUAAGACUGGAGUUUUACAGGGAGGGCAAUUUAGCUAGCUCAGCUAAAUAAUUUAUCUGCAGUCCCCAGCUUGCAAGCGUUAGAGCUGGCACCACAGUCCAGGCCCUUGAACUCCAGAGCCCGUGCUCUUAACCCUUCUGGUCCGGCCUCCUGUCUGUCUGCACAGCUGCUGGGGGCUCAGCAUGUGCCCCGCCCCCAGAGAGUAAGACCACUUUCUUUGAAAGCAGCACUUUGUGUUGCUUUUUCUCUUUAAUCACCAGCUCUUGAGUGGACGGUAACAUGUGCACUUGUCAAAGGCUAUUAUGACAUAUCGGUGGGCAGUGACAUGUUGAUAGGUUUGCUGGAUGCCUACUGCAUGUGCUGGCUAACUCCAAAAGGGCAGGAGCAUGAUUUUCUUGCAUCCUCCCUGGAUCACCUUGAGCGUGGCACUUUACAGGACCAGCUUUUCAACAAAUGAAUAGCUCACAUACAGGAAGCCUUCCACUCCUGCUUAUCCUUUAAGACCUGGCUCAGCUCUUACCUCCUCCAGGACAUCUUCUUGGACUCCCUGAUCCUCCUCAAUCAGAUUCCACAGGUCCAAUCUUGAUUCAAGAUCUAUAUCCAAAUAUAUAAAAGAAUCCCAAAUGAUCCUGAUGCAGGAGAAGAGCUGAGUGAUAGAAAAGACCAGAGAAGUUGGUAUUUUCCUGGAAAGGAGGAGGAGAGAAGACUUUUAAGACCAGCAGAACCUCUCUUCAUCUCAGGAAGCAUGCCACCUGUACCUGCAAGGGUACAAGCAGAGACAUAUGAGUGCUUAGUUAAUUUUGACAACCUGGUGAUGGCUGGAGAACACUCUGGAGGCCGAAAGAGCCAUCUGUCAUGUGAGCUCAACAGCAAGCUAACCCCACCUGAUGGGAUGGGGCUGGAGGCAACAGAGGGCUGCCAAGCCUCCAGCCCCCUGGGAAGAAGCAUGCAUUGUCUCUCAAGAGGUUAGGAACCCCUUCUUUCCACUGGGCUUCCCCACAUUUAUCUCACACAACUCACCAAGCUGGAAUUUGACCUCUGCAGCCCUAAUCCCUUUUCCAUGUGAUUCUUCUGAGAUAUGGCUUCCACACAGCAUUCCCAAGGCCAAUCAUGCUGUCCUGUGACUCUAAAAAAGAAGCCCCAACAAGGAAAUCAAGGGAACUGUGUGAGAAACAUGGAGGGCCUCCAGAAGCCUAUACCAUCCAUGGGUCACAGGUGCAGUUAUCCAAAUGAAAAGGCCCCCUUGGGGAAUACUAUGGCAGUGACUACUCAUUCAACUCAAAGUUGACCUCCAUCUCUGGAAUUCAUUCUUCCCAAAUUUGUUUGACCCUUUGCAACCAGCCCCUGCCUCCUGCUGUCACCCCUUUCCUGUAGGCAGCCGGGGUUCAUGAAAUAAAAAUAUCUACAGCCCUUCCCUUCCGACGCCAUCUUUUGCUCUCGGGCACUCUGUAUUCUGCACACUAUUUUCACGUGUGUGUCAUAAAGAUCCUUCCUGUAAACUUGGCAAUGUAGCAUGGCAGGGGUAUUUUGUUCUGUAUCACAGAAGAAAAGAAGCAGGAGGAGGAGGAAGAGAAGGAAGGGGAGAAGGAGAAGGAUGAGGCAAAGAAAACAAGGGAGGACAAAGACGAAGGAAAAGUAGGAGGAGCAGGAGGAAGAAAGGAUCAGGGGAGGAGGAAAGGAGGAGAGAAGGAGGAGGAGGGAGGGGUGGAGAACUCAGAGCUAUGAAAGGAUCUAGCCAACAUCGCGAAGGGACCUAGAAUCAGUACGUGAGCUUUAUAAAUCCCAGUCCAGGGCUCUUUGCACUACACUGUCUUUUUAAGAUAAUGCAAUGGAAUACCACACUGGGAACCACUUGUCUUCAGAGCUUUAAGAGAGAGUCCUAGAAGCCAAAAUGGUAGCUUUUUAGAGGAGAUGGGAUUUAAUUGGAGCCUUAAAGUUUGGAUUCCCAGGGCAACAGGGACAGCAAACACUUGGGGACCAUUAGAACCGCUGCUAGGCAUUCCUGCCAUCUGCACCCAGUACCUUUCCUUUCCAAGAGUAGGAACUCACAAUCAUAUCAGCAUAGCAAACUAGCCAGUGUGCAAAAUGCACUUUGAGUGACCAGAUGGCUAAACUGUGUGCAACUUGUCUUUGCACAGGAACAAUGAGCCAGUAAUGGGGACAUUCCAGUUACUAUGUGUGGCUAUGGCAAGUAUUGAGUGUGCAGCUUGCUCAUUGCCCUUGGCCCUUCCUUUCUUCUACACAUCAGUGUACAGCAGUAGCCUGCCUGCAUUUUGCAAAGGAAGAUGGAGAAACACAAUCUGCAAGGACAGUUGAGGCCCCCACAGGAACAUAGAAUUGCCUCGAAGUACAAGGGCUCAUGAACAGUUUACAUCCCCUUUGGAAAUCCCCCUAAACUCUCUGCCUCACUAGUUUCCUGGUACAAGAUCUAAUAAAUCUGUACACUCAGCUUAAACUUAGUGCCAGCCCUCAUAAUGGAACGAUUACAUGUGUUUUGUGUGUCAGAGACCUGACAGAAAGAUUAUCCGGCAUAGUGAAGCAAUCGUUGGGGUUUUGGCAGGGGAAGAAGGAGAUAAAUAUGUGUCCAGGGGAGAAAAAUGGCAGCUCAUGGAUUUGCCGCCUCAAUGUCAUUCAAUCAUUCAGCAAAAAUGUAUUAAGUUUAGGUCAACACACAUUUAUCAAGUGCUUCCUAUGUGACAGGCAUUGUGUUACGUCCUGCGAGCACAGAGGUGCGCAAGACACAUCAUUUAUCCUUGGAGCUUGUGGAGAAGCCCAUCAGAAGAGACAGGCAUGUAGGAGGUGAUUUCAGUAUAAUGUGCUAAGUGCAAUGACAGAGGUUGUAACAGGAAUGAUGGCAGUAGAGAGGACGUUACUCAGCUCAGCCUGGGGUAUCGGAGGAAGCUUCAGCAGGGGUCUGGAGGGAUGAGUUGGAUGAAAGGGGAGGAGAGUCCCAAGCACAGGAAACGACUUGAACAAAAGUGCAGGAGUGCAAAAUAUCCUAGCACACAUGUGAGUUUGGAAGGACAGAAGAGAGAGGGAUGGACAUAAAGGGACCAAGUAGAAGAAGUGCAUUGUAACUAGACCAGGAAAGAAAAGAUUGAUGAUGGCUGUAAGGAAUUCAGUCUAUCAGGAAACUUAACCAACUGGCCAAACUGCAAGUCAAAGAUGCAUUUGGAGUUACGGCAAUCUAAGACCACAGUAUAAAAGAUACCAAGCUCCUUAAGAAGUGGUAAAGUGCCAAAAGUAAGGUAGAGAAUUUCCUGGAAGAGGUUUGUAAGAGAACGAAGGACGUGCCUGGGGGAAGGGUUAAAGGAGGUAUGAUACUUGAGCAGAAGUGGAUGAUCUAGGGGCACCUGGGGGCUCAGUCGGUUAAACAGCCAACUCUUGGUUUCAGUUCAGGUCAUGAUCUCAUGGUUUGUGGGUUCGAGCCCCAGGUUGGGCUCUGUACUGACAGCACAGAGCCCUGCUUGGGAUUCUCUCUCUACCUCUCUCUGCCCUCCCCCCCCCCCAAAUAAGUAAAUAAACUUAAAAAAAAUUAGGCUUUGUAUGUAAAGCAUUCCAAAAGGGAGCCAUUGCUUCCCUAGUAGAUCAGGCUCAGAAGGGAGUAUGAAGACAGCCACCAGGGGCCAAUUUGUAGAAUUAUAAGAAAGAGAAGUUAUGGGCAAUGCUUCUGUAGCUCCAAUUCUAAGCUGUGUCCAAGAAGCUCCCCCUUCUUUAACAAUCAAUGCCAGCAUCCUAUUUCAAAGUAGAAAAUAUGAAUAUGGCUCUGGAUCAAAGAGAAAUGGUAGAAAUCUAUUUGGAGAGGCCUGAUACACACAGUGCUCAAAGGGGCCUGUUAAAGGGGACAACUACAUCUAAGGUGACCUUACAGUCUACAUUGGAAACCAAGACAAUGUUGCAUGAGAUAAAUGCUGAACAAGACAAGAUGCCAGGAAAACUAGUGUAAAUCAGGAGAGUCUAGGCAAACAGGGGAUAUGUGGUCCCUGUAUCAGUCAGAGUCCAGUUAGGAAAACCGUAACCAUAUUAGGCAUUUCAACAGAGAGAAUUUAGAAGAAAGAAUGGGUUAAAUGGGUGGAGAAGUCUAAGAAAGCCCAGUGGGAGUACCGCAGUAACACAACGGUAAUAGGGGUGGGGAAACAAAGGCAGAGGUUGGGCUUAUCGGAAUCUAGAAGCUUGGAGAAGGGACCUUGCAGACCUGGGACUCAGCCCUCUGGGGAGGUAGCACUCCCUUACUGCUUCUAGAAGUCUCAGGAACUCAGAAGAAAUCCAUGGACCAGGGGCUCAGCUCUCCCAGUCCCUGGGAAAGCACUGCCAGCUGGUGAUGGCACCUGUCUAGGGCACAAUGAGGCUGGAGUUUGGGAGUGCAGAAAGAAGCUGGAAACUGGAACCACCUGGGGAGGCUGAGUGAAGGGCAGUCCUAGGGCGGGACUGACAGAAACAGUGAGAAGACUGCUUCCAGUCUCCCCCCUGAGUCCACCUAUUCACAAAGUCUAACAGCUGGGCGGGGAAAAUUAUAGUUUGCAGGCUCCCAGCCCCAGCACCACAGAGCAGGGUGUAGAAAGGUGGGUUGGAAGCUGAGUGACAUUGGUGUAAUAACUGACACUGUGGCUCUGACUGUAUUUGUAGCAGCAGGCUUGACAAAUGGUCCUGAUUUUGAAGAGGGAAUUCACCUAAAUGACCACUCCAUUCAAGAAGUGACAAAACCAUGAUCUGGUCCCUGCAGAAGAAGGAAAUGACAUCAAUCAGUUAUUCCCUGUGUGCCAAGAGCUUUAUAGAUGUUGGUUAAUUAAUCAUAAUAACCUCAAAGAACAGGUGUUCAUCUUGUUUUACAGAUAAAGUUUCAGGUGGUUAAGUAACUUGCCCAAGACCAAGUAGCUAGUGAGAGGCAAGGUCCAGGACCCGAAGCCCAGCCUUUCUGCCACUUCUUGGUCUUUCUGUGGUAGAAGGUGCUUCUUGGUAGGGCUGAGACCCAGGAUCCUGGAUGGAGGGACAGUGGCUGGACCACUCUUCCACCAAUGACCUCUUGACAGUUCGGGCCUAGGAGAACUUCUGUCCUUUGAGUUCUUAUCUAGCCAGAUUCUAGCAUCACCAAAGGGAUUUACUCCUGCCCAGUGCUGGCCUCAGUCCUGCCUGAAGGAGCCAGAACUUUGAAUGAGCUCGCCACCUCUUGGAGGGAGCAUCCUGCUGCAGCCACCCAUAGAUACAUUGUGUGAUGUCCAGAGAGUGUUUGUGUCUGUGUGUCUGUCCUUAUGUUUGCAUGUCUUAUAAAUUCAA